GAUGAACGCUGGCGGCGUGCCUAAUACAUGCAAGUCGAGCGAACGGACGAGAAGCUUGCUUCUCUGAUGUUAGCGGCGGACGGGUGAGUAACACGUGGAUAACCUACCUAUAAGACUGGGAUAACUUCGGGAAACCGGAGCUAAUACCGGAUAAUAUUUUGAACCGCAUGGUUCAAAAGUGAAAGACGGUCUUGCUGUCACUUAUAGAUGGAUCCGCGCUGCAUUAGCUAGUUGGUAAGGUAACGGCUUACCAAGGCAACGAUGCAUAGCCGACCUGAGAGGGUGAUCGGCCACACUGGAACUGAGACACGGUCCCGACUCCUACGGGAGGCAGCAGUAGGGAAUCUUCCGCAAUGGGCGAAAGCCUGACGGAGCAACGCCGCGUGAGUGAUGAAGGUCUUCGGAUCGUAAAACUCUGUUAUUAGGGAAGAACAUAUGUGUAAGUAACUGUGCACAUCGUGACGGUACCUAAUCAGAAAGCCACGGCUAACUACGU
rnacentral:rRNA from 1 species